GACGAACGCUGGCGGCGUGCCUAAUACAUGCAAGUAGAACGCUGAAGGAGGAGCUUGCUUCUCUGGAUGAGUUGCGAACGGGUGAGUAACGCGUAGGUAACCUGCCUGGUAGCGGGGGAUAACUAUUGGAAACGAUAGCUAAUACCGCAUAAGAGUAGAUGUUGCAUGACAUUUGCUUAAAAGGUGCAAUUGCAUCACUACCAGAUGGACCUGCGUUGUAUUAGCUAGUUGGUGAGGUAACGGCUCACCAAGGCAACGAUACAUAGCCGACCUGAGAGGGUGAUCGGCCACACUGGGACUGAGACACGGCCCAGACUCCUACGGGAGGCAGCAGUAGGGAAUCUUCGGCAAUGGACGGAAGUCUGACCGAGCAACGCCGCGUGAGUGAAGAAGGUUUUCGGAUCGUAAAGCUCUGUUGUAAGAGAAGAACGAGUGUGAGAGUGGAAAGUUCACACUGUGACGGUAUCUUACCCAG
rnacentral:rRNA from 1 species